AACUUUUGACCUCGGAUCAGGUAGGGAUACCCGCUGAACUUAAGCAUAUCAAUAAGCGGAGGAAAAGAAACCAACAGGGAUUGCCCUAGUAACGGCGAGUGAAGCGGCAACAGCUCAAAUUUGAAAUCUGGCUCUUUUAGAGUCCGAGUUGUAAUUUGCAGAGGGCGCUUUGGCUUUGGCAGCGGUCCAAGUUCCUUGGAACAGGACGUCACAGAGGGUGAGAAUCCCGUACGUGGUCGCUGGCUAUUGCCGUGUAAAGCCCCUUCGACGAGUCGAGUUGUUUGGGAAUGCAGCUCUAAAUGGGAGGUACAUUUCUUCUAAAGCUAAAUAUUGGCCAGAGACCGAUAGCGCACAAGUAGAGUGAUCGAAAGAUGAAAAGCACUUUGGAAAGAGAGUCAAACAGCACGUGAAAUUGUUGAAAGGGAAGCGCUUGCAGCCAGACUUGCUUACAGUUGCUCAUCCGGGUUUCUACCCGGUGCACUCUUCUGUAGGCAGGCCAGCAUCAGUUUGGGCGGUAGGAUAAAGGUCUCUGUCACGUACCUCCUUUCGGGGAGGCCUUAUAGGGGAGACGACAUACUACCAGCCUGGACUG
rnacentral:rRNA from 1 species